ACUUGUAGGCCCUCAAUAACCCUGAAGGAGCCAAAUCCUGUUUGACCUUGGAAGAUAUGCAGGGUCAGCCCUGGCUGAUACUUGGAUGAGAAACCACUAAUGAAUUCCAGGUACUGUAAGCU
rnacentral:rRNA from 11 species